GACGAACGCUGGCGGCGUGCCUAAUACAUGCAAGUAGGACGCAGUUGCGAACGGGUGAGUAACGCGUAAGUAACUACCUAUUGAAGGGGGAUAACUAUUGGAAACGAUAGCUAAUACCUCAUACUAGUAGAUGGACCUGCGUUGUAUUAGCUAGUAUGGAGGGUAACGGCCUACCUAGGCAACGAUGCAUAGCCGAACUGGGAGGGGGAUGGGGCAAACUGGGAAUGGGACAAGGGCCCAAAGCCUAAGGGAGGGAACAGUAGGGGAUCAUCGGGAAUGGGGGGAAACCUGAACGAGCAACGCCGCGGGAGGGAAGAAGGUUUUCGGAUCGUAAAGCUCUGUUGUUUAGGAAGCGGUACUUAACCAGAAAGGGACGGCUAACUACGUGCCAGCAGCCGCGGUAAUUC
rnacentral:rRNA from 1 species